CAGCCGCCGCGGUAAAACCAGCACCUCAAGUGGUCAGGAUGAUUAUUGGGCCUAAAGCAUCCGUAGCCGGCUCUGUAAGUUUUCGGUUAAAUCUGUACGCUCAACGUACAGGCUGCCGGGAAUACUGCAGAGCUAGGGAGUGGGAGAGGUAGACGGUACUCGGUAGGAAGGGGUAAAAUCCUUUGAUCUAUUGAUGACCACCUGUGGCGAAGGCGGUCUACCAGAACACGUCCGACGGUGAGGGAUGAAAGCUGGGGGAGCAAACCGGAUUAGAUACCCGGGUAGUCCCAGCUGUAAACUAUGCAAACUCAGUGAUGCAUUGGCUUGUGGCCAAUGCAGUGCUGCAGGGAAGCCGUUAAGUUUGCCGCCUGGGAAGUACGUACGCAAGUAUGAAACUUAAAGGAAUUGGCAGGGGAGCAC
rnacentral:rRNA from 2 species